rnacentral:lncRNA from 1 species
UUAUCAUUUCAAGAGAAUACUCGUUGGAUAGUAUUCUUUGAUAUACAAAGUUUUAAAUUUGAUCAAAUCCAAUUUAUCCAUUUUUUUUUGUCACUGUGCUUUUGAUGUCAUACCUAAGUGGCCUUUGCCUAACCUAAAGUCACAAAGAUUUAGCUUUGUCUUCUUCUAAGAGUUUUAUGAUUUUAUCUCUUAUAUUUAGUUCUAUGAUCCAUUUUGAGUUAGUUUUUGUGGAUAGAGUGAUUCUUGGUUCACUUUUUUUUCUUUCAGCACUUUGAAUAUAUCAUCCCACUGCCUUUUAUCCUCCAUUGUUUCUGAUGAGAAUUCAGCUGCUAAUCUUAUCAGUAUUCUCUUGUAGGUGAUAAGUGGUCUUUCUGUUACUGCUUCCAAGAUUUUCUCUCAUUACUGUGUUGAUAGGAGAACUUACUGUGCUAGGUCGUCUAGCUGGCCUACUCUGUUUGUUUUGUUGCUAUUAUGGAGCUACUAACCUCCUCUUAAAUGCUCGGAAAUUGCUUUUAUGCUUGGACCUCCUCAUACUCCAUUCCAAAUAAAGUCAAAAGCUACAAAUCUCUGUGUUCCUAC